GAUGAACGCUGGCGGCGUGCCUAAUACAUGCAAGUCGAGCGGUAAGGCUCCUGCAGUUUAUUUGAUUAUGAUUGCGCUCGCAGAGUAAACCAGUUUACUGGUGUGCGAAGCGAAGGCAAUCACAACAGACCCAAUCAACCCCGGCUAGGGAAGAGACGGCGAGGGAAAAUCGAAUGAAGUGCUGGAGUACACGAGCGGCGGACGGCUGAGUAACGCGUAGGAACGUACCCAAACUGAGGGAUAAGCACCAGAAAUGGUGUCUAAUACCGCAUGUGCUCUAAGGAGUAAAGCUUCGGCGGUUUGGGAACGGCCUGCGUACGAUUAGAUUGUUGGUGAGGUAAUGGCUCACCAAGUCGACGAUCGUUAGCUGGUCUGAGAGGAUGAUCAGCCAGACUGGGACUGAGAACGGCCCAGACUCCUACGGGAGGCAGCAGUAGGGAAUUUUCCACAAUGGACGAAAGUCUGAUGGAGCAACGCCGCGUCG
rnacentral:rRNA from 1 species